rnacentral:rRNA from 1 species
AUAGUACGAACUUUAGCCGAAAGGUCCUGGAAAGGCCUGCUAUAGAGGGUGAUAGCCCCGUAGGCGAAAGAGUUCGUAUGGUACUAAGGAAGCGAGAAGUAGAGCGGGACACGUGGAAUCCUGUUCGAAGACGGGGGGACCAUCCUCCAAGGCUAAAUACUCGUGAUCGACCGAUAGUGAACCAGUACCGUGAGGGAAAGGCGAAAAGAACCCCGGGAGGGGAGUGAAAUAGAACCUGAAACCGCAUGCAUACAAACAGUAGGAGCCUUUACGGAGGUGACUGCGUACCUUUUGCAUAAUGGGUCAGCGACUUACAUUCUGUGGCGAGCUUAACCGAAUAGGGGAGGCGCAGCGAAAGCGAGUUCGAAAUGAGCGUCCAGUCGCAGGGUGUAGACCCGAAACCAGAUGAGCUAUCCAUGGCCAGGUUGAAGGUGUGGUAACACACACUGGAGGACCGAACCGACUAGUGUUGCAAAAUUAGCGGAUGAGCUGUGGAUAGGGGUGAAAGGCCAAACAAAUCUGGAGAUAGCUGGUUCUCCCCGAAAACUAUUGAGGUAGUGCCUCGUGUGUCGCUCCAGGGGGUAGAGCACUGUUUUGGCUAGGGGGACAUGGAGUCUUACCAAACCAAGGCAAACUCCGAAUACCUGGAAGCGUGAGCACGGGAGACAGAGCACCGGGUGCUAACGUCCGGACUCAAAAGGGAAACAACCCAGACCGCCGGCUAAGGUCCCAAAUAACAGCUAAGUGGAAAACGAAGUGGAAAGGCCGUGACAACCAGGAAGUUGGCUUAGAAGCAGCCAUCCUUUAAAGAAAGCGUAAUAGCUCACUGGUCGAGUCCUUCUGCGCGGAAGAUGUAACGGGGCUAAGCUGUUAACCGAAGCCGCGGAUGCACUGGUAAUCCAGUGCGUGGUAGGGGAGCGUUCUGUAAGUCUGCGAAGGCGGUUCGAGAGGACUGCUGGAGAUAUCAGAAGUGCGAAUGCUGACAUGAGUAACGUUAAAGCAGGUGAAAAGCCUGCUCGCCGUAAGCCCAAGGAUUCCUGCUCUACGUUCAUCGGAGCAGGGUGAGUCGGCUCCUAAGGUCAGGCCGAAAGGCGUAGCCGAUGGGAAUCAGGUUAAUAUUCCUGAACCUGCGUCAGAUGCGAUGGGGGGACGGAGCAUGAAAGAUCAUCCGGGUGUUGGAAGUCCCGGUUGACGAGCGUAGGAGGUCUGCAGGCAAAUCCGCAGACGCAUCUCCAAGGCAAAGACACGUGCCGCCACGGCGGCGAAGUGAUCGGAAGUGCUUCCAAGAAAAGCCUCUAAGCCCCAGUCUGACGCGGACCGUACCGCAAACCGACACUGGUGGGCGAGCUGAAUAUGCUCAGGCGCUUGAGAGAACUCGGGAGAAGGAACUCGGCAAAUUGACACCGUAACUUCGGAAGAAGGUGUGCCGUAGUAGCGUGAGAGGAGAGACUCCUCGAGCGUGAAUCGGUCUCAGAGAAUAGGUGGCUGCGACUGUUUAUUAAAAACACAGCACUCUGCAAAGUCGAAAGACGACGUAUAGGGUGUGAUGCCUGCCCGGUGCUGGAAGAUUAAUUGAUGGGGUGAGAGCCCUUGAUCGAAGUCCCAGUAAACGGCGGCCGUAACUAUAACGGUCCUAAGGUAGCGAAAUUCCUUGUC